UACGAGGGGUGCAAGCGUUGCUCGGAAUUAUUGGGCGUAAAGGGUAGGUAGGUGGUCUCAUUUGUCUGGGGUGAAAGCCUUGAGCUUAACUCAAGAAGUGCCCCGGAAACGGUGAGACUGGAGUCUUGGAGAGGGUCGUGGAAUUCCCGGUGUAGCGGUGAAAUGCGUAGAGAUCGGGAGGAACACCGGUGGCGAAGGCGGUGGUCUGGGCCGGAACUGACGCUGAGGAGCGAAAGCGUGGGGAGCGAACAGG
rnacentral:rRNA from 1 species